rnacentral:lncRNA from 1 species
GUACCACUGCUGGAUAAUUGGAAAGUCCCUGUGUGUCAACCUCUGUGCUUCGUGGCAAGGUAGACUAGUAAAACAUGCCCAACCUUUACUCACACUUCGAGAAAACACUACCAAUAAGAUUGCUUGCUCCAAAAUCGAAGAGGCACCGUCCUCCGAAUCUCGAGAGCCAGACUCCCAACAUGACUACUUUCUCAAAAAUCGAAGAGAGGGUAAAGGAACAGUACCAUUGCUGGAUAAUUGGAAAAUCUCUGUGUGUCAACCUCUGUGCUUCGUGGCAAGGUAGACUAGCAAACAUGCCCAACCUUUACCCACAUUCGAGAAAACACUCCCAACAAGAUUGCUUGCUCCAAAAUCGAAGAGGCACCGCCCUCCGAAUCUCGAGAGCCAGACUCCCAACAUGAUUACUUUCUCAAAAAUCGAAGUGACACUGCUCCCCGAAUCUCGAGAGCCAGACCCCCAUCAUGAUUGCUUUCUUAAAAAUCGAAGAUGCAUCGUUUUCCAAAUCAAUCGAAGAGACGCUCGCUUUCUCAAAAGCUGGGCUGCUCAGAGACCACGAGGGCCGAUCUCAGAAAUCGAAGAGGCACCUACUUUUCUAGCCUUGUCAGCACCUGUCA